AUUGAACGCUGGCGGCAGGCCUAACACAUGCAAGUCGAACGAGUGGCGGACGGGUGAGUAAUGUCUGGGAAACUGCCUGAUGGAGGGGGAUAACUACUGGAAACGGUAGCUAAUACCGCAUACCAUCGGAUGUGCCCAUAUGGGAUUAGCUUGUUGGUGGGGUAACGGCUCACCAAGGCGACGAUCCCUAGCUGGUCUGAGAGGAUGACCAGCCCCACUGGAACUGAGACACGGCCCAUACUCCUACGGGAGGCAGCAGUGGGGAAUAUUGCACAAUGGGCGCAAGCCUGAUGCAGCCAUGCCGCGUGUAUGAAGAAGGCCUUCGGGUUGUAAAGUACUUUCAGCGGGGAGGCGUUACCCGCAGAAGAAGCACCGGCUAACUCCGUGCCAGCAGCCGCGGUAAUUC
rnacentral:rRNA from 1 species